rnacentral:rRNA from 1 species
CCUACGGGAGGCAGCAGUCGAGAAUCAUUCACAAUGGGGGAAACCCUGAUGGGGCGACGCCGCGUGGGGGAAUGAAGGUCUGCGGAUUGUAAACCCCUGUCAUGUGGGAGCAAAUUAAAAAGAUAGUACCACAAGAGGAAGAGACGGCUAACUCUGUGCCAGCAGCCGCGGUAAUACAGAGGUCUCAAGCGUUGUUCGGAAUCACUGGGCGUAAUGCGUGCGUAGGCUGUUUCGUAAGUCGUGUGUGAAAGGCGCGGGCUCAACCCGCGGACGGCACAUGAUACUGCGAGACUAGAGUAAUGGAGGGGGAACCGGAAUUCUCGGUGUAGCCGUGAAAUGCGUAGAUAUCGAGAGGAACACUCGUGGCGAAGGCGGGUUCCUGGACAUUAACUGACGCUGAGGCACGAAGGCCAGGGGAGCGAAAGGGAUUAGAUACCCUUGUAGUC